AAUACCCAUUGUUUUCGUCUUCUCAUGUCGAAAGCAUGUCGAAAGUUCUUGCUGCUUUGUUAGAGUUUUACUUGUGAUUUUGGAAAAAAUUUAACGCCCAUAUCAAAUAUUGUGUAUGCAGGUACUGGACUACCCAACAGCUUUCAACAAUGUCAGGUUUUCAUCACCAUUCCUACAACUAAUUGAAUGAAAUGUUUCCUGUCUGUCUGAUCUUCUACUGUGGAUUCUACCUUGAAGAAUCAGACACUAGAACGAGAUGCAGGACUCUGAAUUACGUGCCUUCAGCAGUGUGAAAAACAGUGAAAUUGCUUUCACACUGCGCUGUUUUUCCUGAUUGAAAGCAACAUUGCAUUAAAAGAGUGAGUAUUUCAGAAAUAUGUUGAUGGCCACACUGUUAACUUCCACAUAUUCUUCCAUAUUCAAUUAUUUAUCGAGCAGCCUUAAUAUGGGAUAAGGGAGCAGGGUCACCUCUCAAAAUUACAUCUCCCAGAAGUUACCCUAGCCUGUGGUUAAGGACUGACGUCAUAUCACCACCAGUUUUGAAGUUUUGGGCUUUAGCUGUUUGUGCUGUGUUGGCGGUUUCUUCGUGACGAUGAGAUAUGCCCAGGUACCCAAAAAUUGACUUAUUUUUCGUAGAUUAUUGCUUUGAACUCUGUGUCCGUGUAUUAAUUCCUAAAUCAAGCCCUGUUUGUGAGUCGCAUGCGAAGUGUAAUUACUUCAACGUUUCUUUUUUCUAAAGCUAAGAGGGCUUCAUCAUAGCCUUUGGCAAUUUUCAGCUGUCAAAAUAGUCAUUUUCACAGUUACUUUGCGACUUUGCGCAUCCAUGAAAACAUUGAAAGUUACUUUGUGGUAAUCUUUGAGUGAUUACUGACUAUAAUUAUUCUACCAACAAAGUUCACUUGUUAAAUUUUCAAUCAUUGCCUUUUUGUCUACUUCCGGUUUCUUAAUUAGUUAGUAGUUCUGUAAAUAUUCAUGUGACGGCAAAAAGAACCCCUUAUUCGUGAUCCUCGUCAAAUUUGGGGUCAGAAUCUUGCCUUAGUAUUAAAUAUCGGAAAAUCGUCCAAGUCAAAUGACUC